AUUGAACGCUGGCGGAAUGCUUUACACAUGCAAGUCGAACGGCAGCACGGACUUCGGUCUGGUGGCGAGUGGCGAACGGGUGAGUAAUGUAUCGGAACGUGCCCAGUCGUGGGGGAUAACGUAGUGAAAAUUACGCUAAUACCGCAUACGAUCUAUGGAUGAAAGCGGGGGAUCGCAAGACCUCGCGCGAUUGGAGCGGCCGAUAUCAGAUUAGGUAGUUGGUGGGGUAAAGGCCCACAAAGCCAACGAUCUGUAGCUGGUCUGAGAGGACGACCAGCCACACUGCAACUGAGACACGGUCCAGACUCCUACGGGAGGCAGCAGUGGGGAAUUGUGGACAAUGGGCGAAAGCCUGAUCCAGCCAUUCCGCGUGCAGGAUGAAGGCCCUCGAGUUGUAAACUGCUUUUGUACAGAACGAAAAGGUUUCUACUAAUACUAGGAGCUCAUGACGGUACUGUAAGAAUAAGCACCGGCUAACUACGUGCCAGCCGCCGCAGUAA
rnacentral:rRNA from 1 species